rnacentral:rRNA from 1 species
UACGGGGGGAGCAAGCGUUGUCCGGAUUUAUUGGGUUUAAAGGGUGCGUAGGCGGCCCGUUAAGUCAGUGGUGAAAGCCUCCAGCUCAACUGGAGAACUGCCAUUGAUACUGACGGGCUUGAGUACAGACGAGGUGCGGAGUUGAAUGGUGUAGCGGUGAAAUGCAUAGAUACCAUCAAGAACUCCCGAUUUGCGUAGGCAGCUAACUAGGCUGUAACUGACGCUGAGGCACGAAAGCGUGGGAGCGAACAGG